CCUACGGGAGGCAGCAGUGGGGGAUAUUGCACAAUGGGCGCAAGCCUGAUGCAGCGACGCCGCGUGAGCGAAGAAGUAUCUCGGUAUGUAAAGCCCUAUCAGCAGGGAAGAAAAUGGCGGUACCCGACUAAGAAGCUCCGGCUACAUACGUACCAGCAGCCGCGGUAAUACGUAUGGAGCAAGCGUUAUACGGAUUUACUGGGUGUAAAGGGAGCGUAGGCGGGCGUGUAAGUCUGAUGUGAAAAUUUGGGGCUCAACCCCAAACGUGCAUUGGAAACUGCAUGGCUUGAGUGCGGGAGAGGCAGGCGGAAUGCGUGGUGUAGCGGUGAAAUGCGUAGAUAUUAGGAGGAACACCAGUGGCGAAGGCAGCCUGCUGGACGGUAACUGACGCUGAGGCUCGAAAGCGUGGGGAGCAAACAGGAUUAGAUACCCUUGUAGUC
rnacentral:rRNA from 1 species